GGGGAUUUAGCUCAGUGGUAGAGCGCUUGCCUAGGAAGCGCAAUGCCCUGGGUUCGAUCCCCAGCUCCG
rnacentral:tRNA from 1 species